AGAUUGAACGCUGGCGGCAGGCCUAACACAUGCAAGUNCSAGCGGCAGCGGGAAAGUAGCUUGCUACUUUUGCCGGCGAGCGGCGGCACGGGUGAGUAAUGCCUGGGAAAUUGCCCAGUCGAGGGGGAUAACAGUGUGGAAACSACUGCUAAUACCGYUAUACGCCCUACGGGGGCAAAGCAGGGGCACCUUCGGGCCUUGCGCGAUUGGAUAUGCCCAGGUGGGAUUAGCUAGUUGGUGAGGUAAUGGCUCACCAAGGCGACGAUCCCUAGCUGGUCUGAGAGGAUGAUCAGCCACACUGGAACUGAGACACGGUCCAGACUCCUACGGGAGGCAGCAGUGGGGAAUAUUGCACAAUGGGGGAAACCCUGAUGCAGCCAUGCCGCGUGUGUGAAGAAGGCCUUCGGGUUGUAAAGCACUUUCAGCGAGGAGGAAAGGUUGAUGCCUAAUACGUAUCAACUGGACGUACNCGCUAAGAGUAUAGUNCCC
rnacentral:rRNA from 1 species